UCCCAACUGGCUCAGAUGGUAAAGAAUCUGCCUGCAAUGUAGGAGACCUGGAUUUGAUCCCUGGGUUGGGAA
rnacentral:tRNA from 1 species